AUGCACGCUGGCGGCGUGCCUAAUACAUGCAAGUCGAGCGAACGGACGAGAAGCUUGCUUCUCUGAUGUUAGCGGCGGACGGGUGAGUAACACGUGGAUAACCUACCUAUAAGACUGGGAUAACUUCGGGAAACCGGAGCUAAUACCGGAUAAUAUUUUGAACCGCAUGGUUCAAAAGUGAAAGACGGUCUUGCUGUCACUUAUAGAUGGAUCCGCGCUGCAUUAGCUAGUUGGUAAGGUAACGGCUUACCAAGGCAACGAUGCAUAGCCGACCUGAGAGGGUGAUCGGCCACACUGGAACUGAGACACGGUCCAGACUCCUACGGGAGGCAGCAGUAGGGAAUCUUCCGCAAUGGGCGAAAGCCUGACGGAGCAACGCCGCGUGAGUGAUGAAGGUCUUCGGAUCGUAAAACUCUGUUAUUAGGGAAGAGCAUAUGUGUAAGUAACUGUGCACAUCUUGACGGUACCUAAUCAGAAAGCCACGGCUAACUACGUG
rnacentral:rRNA from 1 species